UGAUUCUGGGUUAUAGAGAAGGCUUAAUUGAGGUCAUCUGAUUCUGGGUUAUAGAGAAGGCUUAAUUGAGGUCAUCUGAUUCUGGGUUAUAGAGAAGGCUUAAUUGAGGUCAUCUGAUUCUGGGUUAUAGAGAAGGCUUAAUUGAGGUCAUCUGAUUCUGGGUUAUAGAGAAGGCUUAAUUGAGGUCAUCUGAUUCUGGGUUAUAGAGAAGGCUUAAUUGAGGUCAUCUGAUUCUGGGUUAUAGAGAAGGCUUAAUUGAGGUCAUCUGAUUCUGGGUUAUAGAGAAGGCUUAAUUGAGGUCAUCUGAUUCUGGGUUAUAGAGAAGGCUUAAUUGAGGUCAUCUGAUUCUGGGUUAUAGAGAAGGCUUAAUUGAGGUCAUCUGAUUCUGGGUUAUAGAGAAGGCUUAAUUGAGGUCAUCUGAUUCUGGGUUAUAGAGAAGGCUUAAUUGAGGUCAUCUGAUUCUGGGUUAUAGAGAAGGCUUAAUUGAGGUCAUCUGAUUCUGGGUUAUAGAGAAGGCUUAAUUGAGAUCAUCUGAUUCUGGGUUAUAGAGAAGGCUUAAUUGAGGUCAUCUGAUUCUGGGUUAUAGAGAAGGCUUAAUUGAGGUCAUCUGAU